rnacentral:rRNA from 1 species
GAGGGGCAGCAUGGUCUUAGCUUGCUAAGGCUGAUGGCGACCGGCGCACGGGUGAGUAACACGUAUCCAACCUGCCGUCUACUCUUGGCCAGCCUUCUGAAAGGAAGAUUAAUCCAGGAUGGCAUCAUGAGUUCACAUGUCCGCAUGAUUAAAGGUAUUUUCCGGUAGACGAUGGGGAUGCGUUCCAUUAGAUAGUAGGCGGGGUAACGGCCCACCUAGUCAACGAUGGAUAGGGGUUCUGAGAGGAAGGUCCCCCACAUUGGAACUGAGACACGGUCCAAACUCCUACGGGAGGCAGCAGUGAGGAAUAUUGGUCAAUGGGCGAUGGCCUGAACCAGCCAAGUAGCGUGAAGGAUGACUGCCCUAUGGGUUGUAAACUUCUUUUAUAAAGGAAUAAAGUCGGGUAUGCAUACCCGUUUGCAUGUACUUUAUGAAUAAGGAUCGGCUAACUCCGUGCCAGCAGCCGCGGUAAUACGGAGGAUCCGAGCGUUAUCCGGAUUUAUUGGGUUUAAAGGGAGCGUAGAUGGAUGUUUAAGUCAGUUGUGAAAGUUUGCGGCUCAACCGUAAAAUUGCAGUUGAUACUGGAUGUCUUGAGUGCAGUUGAGGCAGGCGGAAUUCGUGGUGUAGCGGUGAAAUGCUUAGAUAUCACGAAGAACUCCGAUUGCGAAGGCAGCCUGCUAAGCUGCAACUGACAUUGAGGCUCGAAAGUGUGGGUAUCAAACAGG